GGUUGUGACCUCGAAUCAGGUAGGAAUACCCGCUGAACUUAAGCAUAUCAAUAA
rnacentral:rRNA from 1 species